rnacentral:lncRNA from 1 species
UUAUUUCAGUUGUCUUAUCAGAUUGCCAUCCAUUGUACAUGUAAUUUUGGACCUUAAAACGGUACCCGAAUUUAAGGCUCCAUAAUAGUGAAAUCGUGGUUGUAGGUGCUCGGGCUUACUUAGAUGGCUUUCAUACCCACAAGAAGUCCGACCCUUGUUGAUGAGGACAUGACAUGUGUGGACUCAAACAAGACUAAAGGGACGUGGGGAUCAAGCAAGGCUAGAACUAAAAGGUUCAAACAAGAUCUCAAUGGAUUGAUCCAAGAUGGUUGGGCUGAAACUAACACAAGAAAACUCAAAGAGAAGGAUAAGACACAAAUUUGGGUCAAUUUAAUGGCAAAAAACACUUUUACCCCACUGUGGUUGUAGUGUUUUAAGCAAUUAGCCACUGUGCUUUUAAAAUAUUCAAUUAGCCCACUGUACUUUUUAAAAAUGUUCAAUCAGACCAUUCCGUCCAAUUUCUUGGACGGACGUUAAAAAAUCAACUUGGAUUGCUUACGUGGCUUUUUGAAAAAAAAUAAAAAAUUACGUGGCAUAUGG